UCACACAGGGAGAGUUUGAUCCUGGCUCAGAAUGAACGCUGGCGGCGUGCUUAACACAUGCAAGUCGUGCGCGAAGGAGGCUUCGGUCUCCGGAGAGCGGCGAACGGGUGAGUAAUGCAUCGGAACGUGUCCUCUUGUGGGGGAUAACCAGUCGAAAGACUGGCUAAUACCGCAUGAGAUCGAGAGAUUCACACAGGGAGAGUUUGAUCAUGGCUCAGAGUGAACGCUGGCGGCAUGCCUAACACAUGCAAGUCGAACGGUAACAGGCCCGCAAGGGUGCUGACGAGUGGCGGACGGGUGAGGAAUACAUCGGAAUUUGCCCUGUCGUGGGGGAUAACGUAGGGAAACUUACGCUAAUACCGCAUACGACCUAACGGUGAAAGGGGGGGAUCGCAAGACCUCGCC
rnacentral:rRNA from 1 species